rnacentral:rRNA from 1 species
AUUGAACGCUGGCGGCAGGCCUAACACAUGCAAGUCGAGCGGAGGGGCGGUCGGGGAAGUAAUACCUAGGAAUCUGCCUGGUCGUGGGGGAUAAGGUCCGGAAACGGGAGCUAAUACCGCAUACUAUCAGAUGAGCCUAGGCCGGAUUAGCAAGUUGGUGGGGUAAAGGCAUACAAAGGCAACGAUCCGUAACUGGUCUGAGAGGAUGAUCAGCCACACUGGAACUGAGACACGGUCCAGACUCCUACGGGAGGCAGCAGUGGGGAAUAUUGGACAAUGGGGGAAAGCCUGAUCCAGCCAUGCCGCGUGUGUGAAGAAGGUCUUCGGAUUGUAAAGUACUUUAAGUUGGGAGGCGUUACCAACAGAAUAAGCACCGGCUAACUACGUGCCAGCAGCCGCGGUAAUUC